UCAAGUAACAUUAACUGGUACCAAAUACAAGCCAGAGCCAUGCAAAGUACUUCCAUUUACAGAAUCUCAUUUAUGACACAUUGUCAUAGUUUGUAGGGCUCUGUGUGCCAUUUUCUAGUACAGAAAAGGAACUCUUGUAAUAAUUACUGUAAAGCUUUAAGACACUAGUUUUAUUCUAUAUUUGAUGUCUGUUUUUAUAGUUUAUUGUUGAUGAGAUAGUUUAUAUGAUGCCAAGUCCUUGUUCAGAUAAGCUGCUACUCUCCAUGGUAAUGUUCUCAUAGAAAAAUAUGCCUGUUUUAUAAUAAAUCACUUUGUGGUACUGUUUCCCAGAAUAUGUGGAGGCUGAUAUAGGGGUUCCCUCCUUGGUCCUCAAGGGAAGUUAGUAUGAUUCUGGG